rnacentral:rRNA from 1 species
GACGAACGCUGGCGGCGUGCUUAACACAUGCAAGUCGAACGGAAAGGCCCUGCUUUUGUGGGGUGCUCGAGUGGCGAACGGGUGAGUAACACGUGAGUAACCUGCCCUUGACUUUGGGAUAACUUCAGGAAACUGGGGCUAAUACCGGAUAGGAGCUCCUGCUGCAUGGUGGGGGUUGGAAAGUUUCGGCGGUGGGGGAUGGACUCGCGGCUUAUCAGCUUGUUGGUGGGGUAGUGGCUUACCAAGGCUUUGACGGGUAGCCGGCCUGGGAGGGUGACCGGCCACAUUGGGACUGAGAUACGGCCCAGACGCCUACGGGAGGCAGCAGUGGGGAAUAUUGCACAAUGGGCGGAAGCCUGAUGCAGCAACGCCGCGUGCGGGAUGACGGCCUUCGGGUUGUAAACCGCUUUCGCCUGUGACGAAGCGUGAGUGACGGUAAUGGGUAAGGAAGCACCGGCUAACUACGUG